CCUACGGGAGGCUGCAGUCGAGAAUCAUUCACAAUGGGGGAAACCCUGAUGGUGCGACGCCGCGUGGGGGAAUGAAGGUCUUCGGAUUGUAAACCCCUGUCAUGUGGGAGCAAAUUAAAAAGAUAGUACCACAAGAGGAAGAGACGGCUAACUCUGUGCCAGCAGCCGCGGUAAUACAGAGGUCUCAAGCGUUGUUCGGAAUCACUGGGCGUAAGGCGUGCGUAGGCUGUUUCGUAAGUCGUGUGUGAAAGGCGCGGGCUCAACCCGCGGACGGCACAUGAUACUGCGAGACUAGAGUAAUGGAGGGGGAACCGGAAUUCUCGGUGGAGCAGUGAAAUGCGUAGAUAUCGAGAGGAACACUCGUGGCGAAGGCGGGUUCCUGGACAUUAACUGACGCUGAGGCACGAAGGCCAGGGGAGCGAAAGGGAUUAGAUACCCGUGUAGUC
rnacentral:rRNA from 1 species